rnacentral:snRNA from 1 species
AUACUUACCUGGACGGGGUCUAUGGAUGAUCAUUAAGAUUCAUGGCCUAGAGAAGCAACUUUCAUUGCACUUAGAAAGGGUGUUUCUCUAAGGUCUGUCCAUGUGACAGAGCCUACGUCAUAAUUUGUGGUAGUAGGGACCUGCGUCCGCGCGGUCCCUUU